GACGAACGCUGGCGGCGUGCCUACUACAUGCAAGUAGGACGCAGUUGCGAACGGGUGAGUAACGCGUAGGUAACUGCAUAUUAGAGGGGGAUAACUAUUGGAAACGAUAGCUAAUAACGCAUACUAGUAGAUGGACCUGCGUGGUAUUAGCACGUAGGUAGGGUAAUGGCAUACCUGGGCGACGAUACAUAGCCGACCUUAUAGUGGGAUCCGCCACGAUGGGACUGAGAUAAUGCACAGUCUCCUGCGGGAGGCAGCAGUAGGUAAACUUCGGAGAUGGGGGGAAUCCUGACCGAGCAACGCCGCGUGAGUGAAGAAGGUUUUCGGAUCGUAAAGCUCUGUUGUUAAGGAAGCGGUACUUAACCAGAAAGGGACGGCUAACUACGUGCCAGCAGCCGCGGUAAUUC
rnacentral:rRNA from 1 species